rnacentral:lncRNA from 1 species
AUCUCUCUGGAGAUUUCUCCUUUUUUGAGUUUUCUACUGCAAGCUUAGGACACAGUGUGCUUUGGCAGAGGCAGGUGUUGUAGUGUUCCACAAUUAUGAUGUGAAUCGGAUGCCUUAGAGAGAUCUAGUUAAUCGGGAGAGAUUUAGUUAAUCAGAUAAGGAGCUGCAACUAGCUUGAGAGGGAAGAAGAAGAGAAAUAUUACUUGGAAGGAAGAAAAAGGGAAGAAGUUUAUCAGCUCCUCUCCCACUUUCUCCAAUCACCCAUUGGGGAUGAGAUGAAUUCUGAGGAUUCAGAGCAGAAGAGGCCUGCAGAAGUCACAAGAGAACUUUUGGACUGUAAUGUUAUGUCUUGAAAAGAGUUGCUUGCUUUCUUGUUUGAUGUGGUUUUAAUCCCAUGCCCUGGAAGGAUAACAGGCACCACGGACUGGUUUGUCUAUGUUUUUAGGGAGUAUGAAAAUGUAAAUGCCUCAGUGUGAAAGAGAAGCUAUGAGAGGACACGGCAACCUGGGAAAACUACUGAUUACUAAUAUAUUCCUGAAAGCAUGUUUUUAUUUUUAUUUUUUCCCCCAGAAUCAAAUAGAGCAUUUAUUUCAGACUAAGUAAAGCAGCUUAGGGAAAAAAAAAAAAAAGGCAUUUUUUAAUCUUACAGAACAGUGAUUCAUUGAAAUGAGCCUGAUCUACCAGGGUAUAUGAAGUAGAAGUGAGCUCCUGGAUUUCAUUUUGCUGAAUUAACCUCCUGGCUUCCUAACUGGUCACCUGGUUGAUGAUGGGAGACCAAACAUCUCCAGGAAAGACAAAGCUUCUGCUUCCAGUCGUAGGCAGCUUAAUGGUUUUAAUGACCUUUUUCUGUGUUAUGCCUGCUCCUUCCUAGACUUUCUGGAAACAAGGGUCUUGGGUUUCCUAAGAUGAAAUGCUCCUUAAUUCACUUUUUGAAGCUCAAGAAAACAUGGAAUUAUUCAGAAAACUUUCAUGGGAUUCCUCUUCUCUAGUGGGCUUCAACAUUUCUUGUUCUUUUGUCAUAUUCUUGUUCUGUUGUCAAGCCAAAAUGUCAAUAAAUUAUUUAGAUUUCCCACUGAAUGGAAAUUUUGGGCCCAGUGCUCCUCAUAGCUGAAGAGAGCAAUGUAUUGGUUGGUAUGUUUGAGGUUUGGUGGGCUUCUAGAAUGUAAAGAGAAGAGUUGCACCUGAAAUUAGUAUAAUAUAGCUAAUAGUAGACCUAUGAAAUUCAUGUGUACCACUGAUGUUGCUAUGUUAGGGCCCCAGUACAGCCUAAACUGGGAAAGGUUAAGGGCUUUGUGCUUGCAUUGUUCAUUUCCAACUUUUCUUCUGUAUUAAUGAUCCACAGAGGUGAAGAUCUGCCCACCUGAGGAGAAUGUACUAUACAACACUAAAAAGAAACAAAGAAAGGAGACGUGAAUUUUCUUUCACAUGCAGAUUAAAUGUAUUGCCAUAUGCCUUGAGCAAGCCCCCACUUCCCACUUUAUGAUGCAUGCACACAAGCUAUGGAAUAACGUGUUUUAUUCCAUAAUCUCACAGUGUCAUUUUACGAUUGCAAAGCCUCUUAAUUUUCUUUCAAAAAUUGUUGUGAACUGAACUUUUAAAGGCAUGAAGGUUUUCAUUAAGUCUCUAGACUAGCUUACACUGUCAUUAGAAGUCAACACUAGUAUCUAUUCAUCGCAGUGGAUACAGAAAUAAUCUUUCCUCUGCUGGCUAAUUUUUAGCUGAAAUAUGCAGAUAUUAGUAAACCAUUGACACAUGUUAGCAAAUACAGAGUCUGAAAACUUUUCUUUCUGUUUUCUGUGCAUGUUUCCUUUUUUCCUUUUCUUUGGUAGUAAUGUAGAUGUGGUAUGAUAGUUUAUAUGAAAGAAACAUCUGUUCUAAAGGUACACCAUCAAUUUGAAUUGAUACUUCAGUCAUUGACUAUACAUUACUUUGUGUUAAAAAUAAUCCCUAAACUUCUUACGGCUGGAAAAGCUUGAGGAAGAAACUGGUGUCUGUUCUUCUAGCCAGCUUACAACAUCAUUGUUAUUUGAUGCCUUUAUGUGUAGUUUUUUCAUCUAAAUCAGAUGCUGUCUUCGUCUGUUGUGAAUGUGAGUCUUCCGUCCAUAAAAAGAAGUGUGUAUGUUAGUGUGAUAGAUAAAUCUAUCAUACUGAAGGGGAAAAAAAAAAAUGCCCUGACAGAUUUUGUAGCUUUAGGAGUGGACAGAAAUCCUGAGACCACUUUUAAGCAGUGAUUGAUUCAACUUGAUUGAACUCAACACGAUUCUGUCUUUGCUCCAAAAUCUGCAACUCUGUCAAGAACUGUGAAUGAACUGACAAAACUGGUGUUCGCAAAGUAUACUUUCAAGGCGUAGAGCUUUUUCUUCCUUUGAUCUUUCUUUUUACCUCUCUCCAAUUGUGCGAAUCCAUAAUUUCAAUGAUAAUGGGUUACAUUGUGGCUAAAAUAUCACUUCCUCCAACUUCAGAAUUUGAGCUAUAUCUAUAAGAGAUAUUAAUAUAUUAGACUCAAGGUGUGUCUGGUGGUUUUACAGUGUCUUGGAUUUACUUUCCCUUUGAUAUUAGCUGAGCUAUGAGAGAGUUAAAGGAAACUUGAAAUAAACAUAUAUUUUAAAGAUG